UCAAGAAAAGUCUCUAUCGAGGUUAAAGGUACCCGUACCGCAAACCGACACAGGUGGGUGAGGAGAGUAUCCUAAGGCCAGCGAGAGAACUGUUGUUAAGGAACUCGGCAAAAUGACCCCGUAACUUAGGGAUAAGGGGUGCCACCAUCAGGUGGCCGCAGAGAAUAGGCCCAAGCGACUGUUUACCAAAAACAUAGGUUUCUGCUAAGUCGCAAGACGAUGUAUAGGAGCUGACGCCUGCCCGGUGCUGGAAGGUUAAGGGGAUCUGUUAGAGCAAUCGAAGCAGUGAACUUAAGCCCCAGUAAACGGCGGCCGUAACUAUAACGGUCCUAAGGUAGCGAAAUUCCUUGUCGGGUAAGUUCCGACCCGCACGAAAGGCGUAACGAUUUGGGCACUGUCUCAACAACAGACUCGGUGAAAUUGUAAUUCCGGUGAAGAUGCCGGAUACCUGCGACAGGACGGAAAGACCCCAUGGAGCUUUACUGUAGCUUGACAUUGGGUCUUGGUACUACAUGUACAGGAUAGGUGGGAGGCUUUGAAACCAGGACGCCAGUUUUGGCGGAGCCAUCCUUGGGAUACCACCCUUGUA
rnacentral:rRNA from 1 species